UGUAAAAAGAAAAAAAAAAAAGAAAAAAAAAAAGGGUUUAAGGCUUUCUUUCUUCUUUCUUUUUCCCCCUGCUUUCCCUCUUCGUUCUGCUCUUCUCUUUCCCUCCCAUUUUCGCAUCUCCUGCUCUUCCUCCCGGCUUUCCCUCUCCGUUUUCGCAUCUCCCUCUCGUUUUCGCAUCUCCUUCUGCACUCCAUUGAAGCAGCUCGCUCUCUCUCCAUUGAAUUGGUUUACUCGCUUUCUCACUCCAUUGAAGCAGCACCUCCGUUGAACUAGCUCUGGCCUCCAUUGAACUCACUUCGAGGGUUUGUCAUUGAAGCGCGCACGGCUACACCUCCACCCUAACGACCUCCUUGUCACGGCUACACCUCCACCGAUUCUGAGCUUUCUCACCUCCAUUGAACCAGCUUCGAGAUCAUUUGGGGAAGAACAGAAAGAAGAAUGGAGGUUCAUCUUCCUAAUUUUCCAAAAGAUUUUAAUGCGUUUUCUGCUUCAAUACCUGCUUCAAAAAUACCUGCUUCAAUUGCUGUUUUCUGCUUCACAUGGAUUCUCUCAGGACAAGACUGGAUCCGUUGUUCAAACCAUGCUUUUAUAUAUCCAUGCUUUUAUAGGAUAUCAUUGCGACCGGAGGGGCUGAUACAAAUGCUGUUCUCUUUGAUCGACCUUCUGGACAGAUUGUAUCUACACUAAGUGGUCAUUCAAAGGUUACCAGCAUUAAGAUUGUUCCACAGGAUGAAAGUUCAGCAUAACCGGAUCUGCAGACAAGGCAGGUUAAGGUUAUGCCAUUGUACGGAUAGGAGCACCAUGGAUAAUUCGUGGAAGAGGGAUCAUUGCAAAUGGUUGUAUCAGCUGAAGAUCAAUGCUCCUGUGUAGUUGUUUCUAUUCUGUUGAUGUUAGCUGUCAGGCUGUGUCUGCUUAGCUGUUGUUGCUGUGAGCUGCUACAGUGCUGUGUCUGCUGUGCCGUGAUGUCGAGUUUUCCUGUGUUGAUGUGAUGCGCUGCUGUGUUGGUGUUGUUGUGUUGCUGUCUACUUCCUUUUGCAGUGCUGUGUUGCUGGUCUGGGGUGCUGUGAUGCUGAGUUGAUGUGCUUGCUCUGCUGCUUUGGUGUUGCGCUGUGUUUUGUUAUUUUUGUAGCAUGUAGAGCUGCUUAGUUUGGGCUAUUUACAGGUUUUUGGAGUAUUAGAAGUAAAUUUCUGUAACUUUAUAUAUAUGUUAGUGUUUAUAUAUCAAUUUAAGUGAAAAAAAUGCAAUUUUUUUUUUAAUUUUUUUGGGCAUUUUUGGCACCGGUGUUGGAAAAGAACCGGUGUUAAAAGUCUUUUUUAUAAUUUUUUUUUGGGGACUUUUGGCAUCGGUUCUAAGUAAAAACCGGUGCAAAAAGUUCAGUUUUUUCCACCGGUUUUCCCUAAGAACCGGUGCGAAAAGUCCUUUUUCCCACCGAUUUUGAACCGGUGCGAAAUCUAUGGGGCUUUAGCACCCCCCAAAUACAACCCUGUUCUAAACCGGUGGGAAAGGGGGGGUUUGAACCGGUGGGGAAUUCGUUUUUUCGCCUAGUGUCACCAAGUAGGUUGAAGCAGCAUCCUAUGUGUAACCCAC